rnacentral:tRNA from 1 species
GCUGAAAUAGCUCAGCUGGGAAGAGAACGUUAAGACUGAAGAUCUAAAGUUUCCUGGUUCGAUCCCGGGUUUCGGCA